GACGAACGCUGGCGGCGUGCCUAAUACAUGCAAGUAGAACGCUGAAGGAAGGAGCUUGCUCUUUCCGGAUGAGUUGCGAACGGGUGAGUAACGCGUAGGUAACCUGCCUGGUAGCGGGGGAUAACUAUUGGAAACGAUAGCUAAUACCGCAUAACAGUAGAUAUCGCAUGAUAGCUGCUUGAAAGGUGCAAAUGCACCACUACCAGAUGGACCUGCGUUGUAUUAGCUAGUUGGUGAGGUAACGGCUCACCUAGGCGACGAUACAUAGCCGACCUGAGAGGGUGAUCGGCCACACUGGGACUGAGACACGGCCCAGACUCCUACGGGAGGCAGCAGUAGGGAAUCUUCGGCAAUGGGGGCAACCCUGACCGAGCAACGCCGCGUGAGUGAAGAAGGUUUUCGGAUCGUAAAGCUCUGUUGUAAGUCAAGAACGAGUGUGAGAGUGGAAAGUUCACACUGUGACGGUAGCUUACCAGAAAGGGACGGCUAACUACGUGCCAGCAGCCGCGGUAAUACGUAGGUCCCGAGCGUUGUCCGGAUUUAUUGGGCGUAAAGCGAGCGCAGGCGGUUUGAUAAGUCUGAAGUUAAAGGCUGUGGCUCAACCAUAGUUCGCUUUGGAAACUGUCAAACUUGAGUGCAGAAGGGGAGAGUGGAAUUCCAUGUGUAGCGGUGAAAUGCGUAGAUAUAUGGAGGAACACCAGUGGCGAAGGCGACUCUCUGGUCUGUAACUGACGCUGAGGCUCGAAAGCGUGGGUAGCAAACAGG
rnacentral:rRNA from 1 species